AUACGGAGGAUGCGAGCGUUAUCCGGAUUUAUUGGGUUUAAAGGGAGCGUAGGUGGAUUGUUAAGUCAGUUGUGAAAGUUUGCGGCUCAACCGUAAAAUUGCAGUUGAUACUGGUUUCCUUGAGUACGGUACAGGUGGGCGGAAUUCGUGGUGUAGCGGUGAAAUGCUUAGAUAUCACGAAGAACUCCGAUCGCGAAGGCAGCUCACCGGGCCGGAACUGACACUGAUGCUCGAAAGUGCGGGUAUCAAACAGGAUUAGAUACCCUGGUAGUCCGCACAGUAAACGAUGAAUACUCGCUGUUUGCGAUACACUGUAAGCGGCCAAGCGAAAGCGUUAAGUAUUCCACCUGGGGAGUACGCCGGCAACGGUGAAACUCAAAUGAAUUGGCGGGG
rnacentral:rRNA from 1 species